CCGGGCCGCCUCCGCUCCGGAGGGAGCAGCGGAGGAGCAGCGCCGUGCCCCGGCUGCGGCGGCGGGAAGGGGCCGGGGAAGCCAUCCCCGGGGACACGGGAACGCGACAAAGUUCUAAUUCCAGGACACUGCUGCAUGCAAUUGAAUCAAUGGUGGUCACAGCAGAUUCCUGACACUGUGAGAUGGGAUUCUGCUGUUCUUCUUCUGUGUGGUCUUCAGAUGGGCCUCCAAACUGGGCUGAACUUCUGGAAAGCAAGAAAAGACAUUUUUUUUAAAAAUGAACAAAGCAGCAUUGAUGAUUGGACUAAAACCCAGUGGUGAGAGAUUAAUGUGGAACAGAUGGAUGAGCAGCUCAGAAGGUUUGCCAAGGCAGGUUCCACAGCCAUCUAUUUCUGCAAUUUAUCUGUCUCAGUGCCACCCCU
rnacentral:lncRNA from 1 species